UACGUAGGGUGCAAGCGUUAAUCGGAUUUAUUGGGUUUAAAGGGUGCGUAGGCGGGCUAUUAAGUCAGUGGUGAAAUCCCGGGGCUCAACCUCGGAACUGCCAUUGAUACUAUUAGCCUUGAAUUAUGUUGAGGUUGGCGGAAUAUAACAUGUAGCGGUGAAAUGCUUAGAUAUGUUAUGGAACACCGAUUGCGAAGGCAGCUGGCUAAACAUAUAUUGACGCUGAUGCACGAAAGUGUGGGUAGCAAACAGG
rnacentral:rRNA from 1 species